UACGGGAGGUGCAAACGUUGCUCGGAAUCAUUGGGCGUAAAGCGCACGUAGGCGGUCUGAUAAGUCGGAUGUGAAAGCCCUCGGCUCAACCGAGGAAGUGCAUUCGAAACUGCCAGACUUGAAUAUGGAAGAGGGUCGCGGAAUUCCCGGUGUAGAGGUGAAAUUCGUAGAUAUCGGGAGGAACACCAGUGGCGAAGGCGGCGACCUGGGCCAAUAGUUG
rnacentral:rRNA from 1 species